rnacentral:rRNA from 1 species
CAAUCAAACCGGGAGAUAGCUGGUUCUCCCCGAAAGCUAUUUAGGUAGCGCCUCGUGAAUUCAUCUCCGGGGGUAGAGCACUGUUUCGGCUAGGGGGCCAUCCCGGCUUACCAACCCGAUGCAAACUGCGAAUACCGGAGAAUGUUAUCACGGGAGACACACGGCGGGUGCUAACGUCCGUCGUGAAGAGGGAAACAACCCAGACCGCCAGCUAAGGUCCCAAAGUCAUGGUUAAGUGGGAAACGAUGUGGGAAGGCCCAGACAGCCAGGAUGUUGGCUUAGAAGCAGCCAUCAUUUAAAGAAAGCGUAAUAGCUCACUGGUCGAGUCGGCCUGCGCGGAAGAUGUAACGGGGCUAAACCAUGCACCGAAGCUGCGGCAGCGAACGUAUCACCCAAGACAACUUUACGGAGUUGACGAUUGACGGAGCGAAGCGACGUCAAAGCGUUCAUUAAAGUCGAGUUGGCUUAGGGAUACGUUCGUUGGGUAGGGGAGCGUUCUGUAAGCCUGUGAAGGUGUGUCGUGAGGCAUGCUGGAGGUAUCAGAAGUGCGAAUGCUGACAUAAGUAACGAUAAAGCGGGUGAAAAGCCCGCUCGCCGGAAGACCAAGGGUUCCUGUCCAACGUUAAUCGGGGCAGGGUGAGUCGACCCCUAAGGCGAGGCCGAAAGGCGUAGUCGAUGGGAAACGGGUUAAUAUUCCCGUACUUGGUGUUACUGCGAAGGGGGGACGGAGAAGGCUAUGUUGGCCGGGCGACGGUUGUCCCGGUUUAAGCGUGUAGGUGUGUGUUCCAGGUAAAUCCGGUUCACUUUAACACUGAGGCGUGACGACGAGGCACUACGGUGCUGAAGCAACAAAUGCCCUGCUUCCAGGAAAAGCCUCUAAGCAUCAGGUAACAUCAAAUCGUACCCCAAACCGACACAGGUGGUCAGGUAGAGAAUACCAAGGCGCUUGAGAGAACUCGGGUGAAGGAACUAGGCAAAAUGGUGCCGUAACUUCGGGAGAAGGCACGCUGACACGUAGGUGAAGUGAUUUACUCAUGGAGCUGAAGUCAGUCGAAGAUACCAGCUGGCUGCAACUGUUUAUUAAAAACACAGCACUGUGCAAACACGAAAGUGGACGUAUACGGUGUGACGCCUGCCCGGUGCCGGAAGGUUAAUUGAUGGGGUCAGCGCAAGCGAAGCUCCUGAUCGAAGCCCCGGUAAACGGCGGCCGUAACUAUAACGGUCCUAAGGUAGCGAAAUUCCUUGUCGGGUAAGUUCCGACCUGCACGAAUGGCGUAAUGAUGGCCAGGCUGUCUCCACCCGAGACUCAGUGAAAUUGAACUCGCUGUGAAGAUGCAGUGUACCCGCGGCAAGACGGAAAGACCCCGUGAACCUUUACUAUAGCUUGACACUGAACAUUGAGCCUUGAUGUGUAGGAUAGGUGGGAGGCUUUGAAGUGUGGACGCCAGUCUGCAUGGAGCCGACCUUGAAAUACCACCCUUUAAUGUUUGAUGUUCUAACGUGGACCCGUAAUCCGGGUUGCGGACAGUGUCUGGUGGGUAGUUUGACUGGGGCGGUCUCCUCCUAAAGAGUAACGGAG